rnacentral:sRNA from 1 species
UUUAGAUGAUGAGGCCAAACUUGGCAUGUGAUACCUGUUGAGAAAGCCCAAAGGGAGCCUCCAACAAAAGCAGCAGGACAAUGGGUCGAGGUACAUUUUUUAGUUUUACUCCAAAUUUUACCCUAUAGGUUUUCUCGGGUGUUUCCUUGAUCUAUGCUAUAUUACGGGCCCAAAAUGUUUUGUUCGCACAUUGUUUUUGAAUAUUUUUCAUAUAUCAAAGCUCGUUAAAACUAGAUGGGGUAUCCCUAGGUAGCGGAUUGGACCGACGGUG